rnacentral:rRNA from 1 species
CGCGCAAGUCAUCGGGAAAUCACCCGCCCAACGGGUGGCCGUCCGGUGGAAACUGCACGGCUUGGGACCGGAAGGCGCGACGGGUACGUCCGGGGUAGGAGUGAAAUCCCGUAAUCCUGGACGGACCGCCGAUGGCGAAAGCACGUCGCGAGAACGGAUCCGACAGUGAGGGACGAAAGCCAGGGUCUCGAACCGGAUUA